UUUAUCCUUGAGAGUUUGAUCCUGGCUCAGGAUGAACGCUGGCGGCGUGCCUAACACAUGCAAGUCGAGCGAACGAA
rnacentral:rRNA from 1 species